GAUUCAAUUUUGGCGCAUUUUCUAUUCUCCUUAAUAAACUCCUUAGCGAGAACAGAUUCUGUUGUCUGCAACCAAAAGUCUCUGUUCAACUCCAAAGCCUGACCAUUAGCCACUAUAUUUUACUGUUUCUUACCGUUGACUUUUUUUUUUUUUUUUUUUUCUGCUAGGCUCUGAUGUCAGCACAACCCAUCGUUUUGGAGAGUUCUUUCCGGCCUGAAAGUGAUGCUUGUUGUUUUAUUCACAAUCUAUUGGCAAGAACUCAACCACGAGGCCACACAUGAUCUCAAGGGAUGCCAAAAAAUCAGAGUUUGGGAGCUUUGGCUUAGUUAAAUUAACAGAGGAGACUUACAAGGAGCUUUUGCAAAGUCAGAUGUCUCUGAUGAUGGAUUGGGACAUUAAUGGGACCACAGCUCCAUUCCAGAGUCCCCAAAGAGGAGGCACUCUUAUUCGAGCUUCACUCAGCUGUGUCCUCUGGAUGCUGGGAUAUGAGGGUGGCAUGGGGUUGGGGACAUAUUUCACACACCACUGAAUAUGUGAUAUCAGAUUUUUCUGUAGGAAAUAAGGAUGGGGCUGAACAGCUAAGGAAAAACUUAUUGGAAACUCCCUUUGAGAGAAUGAAUAUAUGAAUGGAUAAUGGCCAGGCUGUAUGUUAAAAUAGAGCUCUGUCCCACAAUCUGCAACCUCCAGUUCAGGAAGCUAAACCACAACCCUUAUAAGAGUUGGCCACAAAACAACUGGAAUGUAAUCAAUAACUGCCAGCUUCUCUAAUUUGUAUCCCUUUCCAACUUAGGACCAGCCAUGGAAAGCCAAAUGUGCUCCCCUAACCAAUCACAUAGGAUGCCCCACUUCAAGUUUGCCCACCUACAGCACCCUUCAUGCCAGCAGCCUUCUAUUGGGGUAUAUCUGGAGCCUUCCCUUUACUAACAAGCUUUCCCACUCCCCUGCCUGCCUGGGAGUCUCUGCCAAAUGCAACUGAUGUUGCUGACUUCUUUGCUAUAGCAAGCUC
rnacentral:lncRNA from 1 species